AUUUAAAUAGUUUAUGAAAAAUAUUGAUUUGUGGAAUCAAAGAUAUGGGCAUUCAUUUUAAAUA
rnacentral:tRNA from 1 species